CUCCCCGCACGCGCGGGCCUGGCGCCGGUGCCGCCGCAGCGCCCCCUGCAGGCCGGAGCCGAGCUGGCCCAGGCCUGAGUCUGGCCCGGGGUUCCGUGGCCCCAGUGCAGGCCCCGCGGCUGCUGCUCCGGCCCGGCCAGGCUGCCUUCGUGUUGAGGCGAAAGGACUGGGCCUCAGUGGGUGAAGGGACCGGGUGGCCCGCUUCCACCUAGGGCAGAGGCUCGAUCGGCCGCGGCGAGGCUGGGCCCAGCAUUACUGGGAGGGGAACUUGAGAGCCGCGGGUUGAUGUUCGGAGCUCAGGCGACGACUGACCACCCACCCUUCCUCGAAGAGCAACAAUGGCUUGGGUUUGGUUUUUAAUUUUUGAUUCCCCCACCUCCCCUUUCUUGAUUCCAAAGGAAAUAUAGCAUUCAAGCGCCAUGUCUGUUGGGAAUAUAUAAUUCCUUGGCAAAGAAAGAGGAAACAUUUCUCUGAUAAACACAAGAAUCUCAGUAAGAAUUGCAUUAUUGAGAACUUUUCCCACUGAUAAAGUAGGGAAGAGGAAGGGGAAAAUAGGGUAAGGGAAUGCUGGAAGACAAACUUUAAACUUUAUCUCCUUUUUUUUUUUUUUUUGUCAAUUGUUGGUGCAUCCUGUUGGUGUUCCGAGAAGUUGUGGCUCAGCUUGCGUUGUCUACAUUAGUGGAAUCUUUAAGUCUUUCUGGUCUGUCUCAGCAUACUCACUGGCAGGCCCUAGACUACAUUACCCAAGUCAUUUUGCCGUCUUGGAAUCCUGGCUGAUGGAAUUUGAGAAAUGGCAGGUGUGAGGACUCUGACCUUCCCAUGAAGCAGGUCAUAAGACCCUCAUGUGAGAGAUGCCCUCUCUAUACCUGGAGAAAAGAAGCAGUCUUAUUUGUGAAGACAGAGAGACGCCAAGAGGAAUCUAAAUGAAUAGGCCUUGGAACCCCACAUGCACGGGCCUUGUGCUGUCGCUGCCGUGGCACCCCUUCUAGAAGGACUCUAUUCUCUAUAACAGAAGUGGGAGCCUUGGACAACUGAACGCCUAUCUCUAGCUCAAGAAAUGUCAGCUCUUUUUUUUUUUUUUUUUUUUUGAGACUGUCACCCAGUUGGGAGUACAGUGGCGCCAUCUUGGCUCUCUGUAACCUCCACCUCCUGGGUUCAAGCGAUUCUCCUGCCUCAGCCUCCUGAGUAGCUGGGGCUACAGUCGUGAAGGGGCCUCGUGACUGGGACUCAUGCCAAACAACUCGUUACAAAAGGAGCUAUGGUCCCAGACCACACCGAAGCUUCACGAGACCUCUCCUCAUCUGUGCACGGACAAGUGUCUGACUCUGGAGCCCAGGCUGUUGCUUUCCAGUCUGGUGGUGAAUCCUUCACAGUCUGAAAAUCUAGGUAUCUUGCACCAAGAAGUGGAAAAUAAAGAAGAGAAAUGAGAAGCAUGUUUGUAUUGGCUGUCUAUAAAAUAAGAGAAUGAAUUCCAGCAGACCCCAGACUUUUUGGCACCAGGGACCAGUUUCGUGGAAGACAAACUGUGUAAGGCAUGGUUUCAGGAUGAAACUGUUCCGCCUCAGAUCAUCAGGCAUUAGUUAGAUUCUCAUAAGGAGCUUGCAGCAUAGAUCCUCGCAUGUGCAAGUUCACAAUAGGGUCCACGCUCCUGUGAGAAUCUGAUGCAGCCACUGAUCUGACAGGAGGCGGAGCUCAGGCCAUCAUACUGUCCUGCCCGCUGCUUACCUCCUGCUGCGCGGCCUGGUUCCUAACAGGUCAUGGACUAGUACCCGUCAGUGGCUCAGGGGUUGGGGACCAUUGAAUUAUAAAUUUGAGAGCUCUCCUGAUAAUUCAGGAAAACAACUUGCUUUUGAGUUACCUUUCAAAAUAAAUUUUAUUCAGAUGAUUGCUUUGAUAUAAAUAAUCUAGUAAGGCUGUUUUGUAUUUCCAAAAUUAAACUCUCAAUUUCCUGUUUGUGUAAACACAGCCAUAAUGAAAUAGAUAAGAUGCAAAUUAAAAAGGAAAGAGAAUGACUGGUCUGUGAAAACCUCAUGAAACAGAACUUCUUGUUUAAACUGUUACUACCUACAAUUAUUGCUUUUAAGGUAUUUCUUAUAUAUUAAAAUAUCCUGUAUAAUCAUUUGAAAUAUUAUUUUAGGAAGGAAAAAUGAGUUUGAACAAUAGACUCUUCAUUGUUAAAUAGCCCCUGUGGGAGAUACGGAGAGCCUGGUGAUGACUGUCACCCCAUGGCGUGCGUUCCUGUACUAUUGAUUCGACUGUGUCUUAACUUGCACAUAUUCCACAUAUGCUUUUGCAGCACAAAUUCCAAAAUCUCAUGAGAAAUGUAAAAAUGUGUGCUGGGGACUGUUUCUUAAUGGGUUGUCUAUAAAGUAAGCGUGUGUGUUGCAUAUAUCUUGAUAUUUUUUCUUUUUCAUUUUUUUCAACUUAGCUGCACAUUAAAAUCAUCCAUCUUCGUUGGUCUCAAAACACGG